rnacentral:rRNA from 2 species
UGGGGAAUAUUGGACAAUGGGCGCAAGCCUGAUCCAGCCAUGCCGCGUGGAUGAUGAAGGCCUUAGGGUUGUAAAGUCCUUUUAACGGGGAAGAUAAUGACGGUACCCGUAGAAUAAGCCCCGGCUAACUUCGUGCCAGCAGCCGCGGUAAUACGAAGGGGGCUAGCGUUGCUCGGAAUCACUGGGCGUAAAGCGCACGUAGGCGGAUUCUUAAGUCGGUGGUGAAAGCCUGGAGCUCAACUCCAGAACUGCCUUCGAUACUGAGAGUCUUGAGUCCGGGAGAGGUGAGUGGAACUGCGAGUGUAGAGGUGAAAUUCGUAGAUAUUCGCAAGAACACCAGUGGCGAAGGCGGCUCACUGGCCCGGUACUGACGCUGAGGUGCGAAAGCGUGGGGAGCAAACA